UGGGGAAUAUUGCGCAAUGGGGGAAACCCUGACGCAGCGACGCCGCGUGAGCGAAGAAGGCCUUAGGGUUGUAAAGCUCUGUUUUAGGGGACGAAUGUCUAGAGGAGUAAUAUGCCUUUAGAAUGACGGUACCCUAAGAGGAAGCCCCGGCUAACUACGUGCCAGCAGCCGCGGUAAGACGUAGGGGGCGAGCGUUGUCCGGAAUUACUGGGCGUAAAGAGCACGUAGGCGGGAACUUAAGUCAGGUGUGAAAGACCGGGGCUCAACUCCGGGGUGGCACUUGAAACUGGGUUUCUUGAGGGCAGGAGAGGAAAGCAGAAUUCCUGGUGUAGCGGUGAAAUGCGUAGAAAUCAGGAGGAAUACCAGUGGCGAAGGCGGCUUUCUGGACUGACCCUGACGCUGAGGUGCGAAAGCGUGGGUAGCAAACAG
rnacentral:rRNA from 1 species